rnacentral:rRNA from 2 species
CAACUUUCAACAACGGAUCUCUUGGCUCUCGCAUCGA